rnacentral:lncRNA from 1 species
GAGAAGAUUUUUGUAAAAGAUUCCUUUAAUUUACGAAAAAUGGUUAAAAAUUGACUAUAAAGGGCAAUAACUCCUAAACGGGUCAACUGACCAUUUUGGGCAUUUUCACUUAUUUGUAGAUCUUACUUUUGCUGAAUCAUUAUUGCUGUUUACAGUUUAUCUCUAUCUAUAAUAAUAUUCAAGAUAAUAACCAAAAACAGCAAAAUUUCCUCAAAAUUACCAAUUCAGGGGCAGCAACCCAACAACCAAUUGACCGAUUCAUCUGAAAAUUUCAGGGCAGAUAGAUCUUGACCUGAUAAACAUUUUUACCCCAUGUCAGAUUUCCUCAAAAUGCUUUGGUUUUUGAGUUAUAAGCCAAAAACUGCAUUUUACCCCUAUGUUCUAUUUUUAGCCGUGGCGGCCAUCUUGGUUGGUUGACCAAGUCACCCCACACAUUUUUUAAACUAGAUACCCCAAAGAUGAUUGUGGCCAAGUUUGGAUUAAUUUGGCCCAGUAGUUUCUGAGGAGAAGAUUUUUGUAAA